CCUGCUAUACGACUAGCAGUAGCCUAGGAAGACAUGCGUCACUGGUAACGGUGGGGUUUGAAGCUCUUCUGACAACGUAGCCCCCGGACGUUCGGGCGGAUGGGUGCCGCGAGGUGCUCAGCCGGAGACUCCUAGCAGUGAGGGGGUCGAGGAG
rfam:Burkholderia glathei PML1(12) contig00212, whole genome shotgun sequence.